AAUAAAUCGAAAACAUCAUUUCGUAUAAUGGCAGGAAUAGGGCCUGCGAGUUUCUACCAAGCUACCGUAAAUAGCUUGACUACGAAAAUAAUGGGUUUUUUA
rnacentral:ncRNA from 18 species